rnacentral:lncRNA from 1 species
CUAUUCUUUCUUCUUAUCUAACCCUUGAUCUCUAGUCUAUCAUGAAGGCAAACAUGUCUAUCUAUGAGUUUAAUAGACCUACGGGCACACAUCUCGAAUCACCAAAAUCUUCAAAGCCUAUCAUGACAUCUAGUUUUGAGAUAAGCCUGGUGUUGGGUAUUCUUAAUGUCAUUACCAAAAGUAGACUUAGUUUUCUAAUUCUGAUAACGGCGCC